AAUCGGUGGAAAUUAACUAUAUCAUAAAAAUGACUGUUUUACACUGUUGGCUCAGUUACAUUUUUAUACGUAUGACUCCUGUAUACAUAUGUUCAAAAUCAGUGUCAUCAUCUGAAUUCACAUUUCUUGUAUCAGACAACUGUCUAGCUGAAUUAGACUAUUCUCCCUACUUCAGCUAGCGAAUAACUGUUUUAGGUCAUUUGUUGUGCAUUCGAGCAAUCAGAUGAGCUCUUGUUAAUCUAAACUUAUCCAAAAUGAUGUAUUUUCUUUUCAUGUGGAAAAACAAACACAAUGAAACCUACAUCUAACAUUCCAUGCAAACUGCCCUUGCCAAAGCAGCACACAUUUCCUGUCAAAAUGUUGUUGAAAGAUUAACAUUUUUUUUAGACCUAAUUGCUAUCUUUAUUCUCCUGGAUUCCAAGGGAACAGAUAAACCUCAUUCCCUUACAGUAGCGACUUUAUUGCCCUGAUCUGAUGGUCCUGGUUAAAAACCAAUUUGAGCUGUGCUGACAGCUCUAUUUAAUCCCCAAAAGUUAGUGCGCACGUAUGCUCUGCCUCAGUUUCUGGCAGGUCAGAAAGCCCCACGUAGCUAAUAUUUCUGUGUUUUUGAGCAGUGUAAUGUAGCCUGGCUGGUGUUUAUAUGGCCUCAGGCCAGCACUGUACUGUAUGGGCACUGCUGGAGCACAUCCAGAAAAAGGAGAAGGGCCAGUGGAUAAUGAGGGAAAGGAGCAGAGAAAGAUUUAAAAGCCAGCCCCAGUGCUGAUUCGCACUGCCUCUGAGCAUUCUUGACUCUAACAUUUAACACAGUUCCUUAGUGAACUCUGGGACUUUCAAAGGCUGAUGUUGCAGAUAAAGGCUAUAGCAAAGGCAGGCUGAAAAGAGCACGAAAUACAAGGAAACGUGCGGUGGAAGUACCUGGGCCUGUAGGACAGGCUGCUGCCUCCUAAUAGAAACUACAGUAGCAGAGAAGGGAAGGAAGGAAGAGUGAUGAUGAUGGUAGGCGGUUUCUAGUUGUAAGCUCCAGACCAUAAUACCUUUUCAAAUCAGGUAUGUCUUUCUUUGCUUCCUAUCCCCAGGGAAGCUAUAAAACCAGUGCUGAAGCACUUGCAUUUAUGUACACAGAGAAAAUAUCUCACAACAAAUAAGGUCGUUGCGUGGCCUAGGGCACUGGGGGCUCGAAGAUGCUCCUCUGCCUCUGCUGCCAACCAUAGCCUGAUUGCAGAACCUGCCUCAUUAUUUGUUCACUGGCAUCUGAAGUGUUUCUCUGCAGUGUGAAACAGUUAAUGGAGAUGGUGUUCAAAGCAAAUAGCUUUCCCCACUUGCUAGUAUACCUAGGCAACAUCAUUAGAUCAUAUUUAUAGAACUCAUUCAUUGCAAUCUAGUAUGUAAAACAGAGAAGUGCUUGAGUUAACUGGGUGUAAUGCUGUGUGGAAUCAUCAGAAAUAUUUUCUCUCGUUAUUAUUUAUAGAAGCAGAAAACAAAAAAAAUCAAAAUCUUUCAAAAAGAAUCUCAAUUCUUAUAUAAACCUAGAGGAAUCCUUUUUUUUUGUUCUCUUUGUCUCAGAUUUUGAGAACAGUUGCAUUAUCUGAGAAAUUAAAUCCCAAGCCUUAGCUGUGUUCUCAUUUUAUUAGUGAUGUAGUGAUAAUCUCACAAGGACCUUAAUGAGUACAGGAGGAAAAAAAGUAACAGCUAAGUGGGGGAACUGAAAAUGUUCCAGCCUGGUGCUAUUACACAGGUCUUAUGUUUUUUUCUGCCUGUUCGAUAAUGGGAUGUUUUGCACAUUCUUCUCUCAGCAGGUUUUGAACAUGAACUUGCAUUACUAUUCUUACAAAAUAAUAAACAGCUUUGGGCUAUAAAAUCUCAUAGAUUGUUUUCCACAGAAGGGAUUUGCAUGCUGACUCAUUCCUACUAUAUUUAUAACCUAUCGCCAAACCACUGCAACUGCAGGAUUUCUAAUAAAGCUAUGGAAAUUACAUGCCUUGCAAUAGGAGUUGAAUACAUUUACAUUGGUAGUAUUUUACUAUUUCAAAAUUUAUGGCAGAUUACCUUGUUUGUGCAUGUCUGGACUUUAAUGGUUAUUUUUUAUAGCAGAAAAUAGUAGUUUAUGGUGGUAUUCCCAGUAGAAGUAUUUUAUGAAUCCGCCAUAUGGAGUAUUACAUAAAACUAAACUUGUAUCAGUGGUGAUUUUAUGUAAAGUGAGGCAGUAAAUGUUAUAAAGAAUUAGCGAUUACAGAAAAUGUUGGAAAACGUGUUUUUGGGAUUUUUUUCUCCCAAUGAUUUUUAGUUUGUAUUAAUAGCAGUCCGAAUCCCUGCGUUUAUUAAAAAGAAAAAAUCUACAGCGUCUGCGGCAAAUAUUGGGCAUUUCAAACGUUUACUGAAGGUGACACCCCCUUUCCUGCCACCUCUCUUUAAGGUGUGCUUCAUGGAAUUGCAAUGUUUGGCAUAACAGAGAUACAUGUGGUGCUUUAUAGUAUCAUAGAAUCAUUUCAGUUGGAAGGGAUCUUUGAAGGUCAUCUAGUCCAACUCCCCUGCAGUGAACAGGGACACCUAUACCCAGAUCAAGUUGGUCAGAGCCCUGUCUAUCUUGAUGUUGCAGGAAAAGACUAAGAAAAUCCAGAAAGUCUACUCUUCUCAAAAAAACCCCACCCAUCUCUAUCAGUACAUCUAUUGUAAUCGGAGCUACUUUCUUCAGCACUAUGGUAGAACAUUGUCUUUUAUGUGUGCCUUGCUACAGAGGGAAGGAGCAGAUUUCUCCUAAAAAAAGUUGCAGGCAGGGAAAGUAUCACAAUUCCAUAUGAAAACUUGAAGAAAAGCAGGGCUAUUUUCAUGAAAAUACGUGUUUGCCUAAGUAUUGACACUGGGGGGCUGCUCAAGCCCUUUAAAAGAAUGCCUUAUGGACAUCAGAGUCAUUCUGCUGGGAAGAGGAAAUACACCAUGAAAAGUAGGUAAGCAGUCACACCAAAAGAACAACAGAUGGUGUGUCCAUGAAACAGUUCUCACCAACACUAGCCUGGAGUGUUCUGCAGGCUGAAAUGUGUCUGCUUCAUUAAUUCACACUUGCAUUGUGAAUGUCUAUGGAUAUCUAUAUAUACUAGUUGUAACAGGCUGUAAGGUUUAUAGAUGAGAUGUAAAGAAGAUGGGAAGGGGAUGGAAAGAAGAAUGAGCUAAAUGUAUCUAAUUCUACUUAUUUUGUUGAUCCUAAUCCUAGCAGAAGCUGCUGGGGAGUACAAAGCUGGUUUUACCCCCAAGGCACAGAGCAUUAGGGUGGUGAUCUGGAUCCAGGCCUGGCUGGAGUGCUGACUUUCUGAACACAAGAAGUACUUCUCUUUGGGACACCAUAAAGAGAGAUGCCUGCAGCUGUGACAGAAUUAUUUUCUUCAGACAACUUCAGGCAACUGAGUAUCUCACCUGUCAACGCAGCCAGUUCUUUGCCAGUACAUUUGGAGGAAUAGGAACCACAUCUUCCAGCAUAUGCACUCCAUAAGAGCAACAUUCCCCAGCUGAAGAUUCUUAUCAAACUUUGGAUGAAUCACUCAACUUUUUUUGUUGGUAAAAUACACUCAGUUUUUGAGAGUUUUGGGAAUAAAUUACCAGCAUGGACAGAACUCCAUGCAAACUUUAGGAUUAAAAUGACAGAAUAAAUCUUGGAAGUUCUUGGAAGAGCUUUGAAUGAAUUAUAACCAGAGAUGAAAACAAGUGCCUGACAGAAGUAACAUUAACUUGCUGCCAGCUGGAAAUCAGUUCUUAUCUGACCUUCUGAUACAUACUAAACAGCUUGUGACUUUAGAGGGAAUUUCAUCUCUUCUUUGUGGCACUGACAUAAACUAGUAAAUAGCAAGUUUCUUCAUUUGACAUGUUCCAAUGUCAGCAAGAUCAGUGAGAAGCUAUAUGGAAAAUCUGCCCAUUUUUUAUCUACAACCUGUAGGAGGUCUGUCCUGAUUUCCUGAGCAGCCCAUCUGUGCACUGGACCUUGGACCCUGGAACUGGAUUUGCUGUCUCCACUCACACUUGCAGAAAACUAACCCAGAAAAUGUUAAGUACAAGCAGAAGCCCAUUCACAGGGGAUAGCAAAGACGCAGAAGAGUAUGUUCUCUCCUUUAAGACACUGUAACACCAAUCUUGCACUAGUUCUUACUGCCAGCAACUUAAUUACAGAGAUUUUAUACUUACAUCUUGAAAAUAUUUUUGGAGGGCUUUUUUCCCCCUUUUUGACUGUUGGGUCAGGCCCACCUGAAGUUGGCACAUGCUUACAAUCACAGGAAUGAAAAAGGAAAUUCUCUGUGCCCCAUGAUAUAAAAAAAGAUGUGGAGCUCUAUCUGUGUCAGCUCCUUCCAAGUUGUAUUUGUGUGCUUCAGCAAGGAAAUCUUCAGACUAAUGUCAGAUGGAUCUGUUGGGUGGUUAUUACGUUGCCCCUGUCAUGGGAUCAGAAGAGUCCAUGCAGUUGCCUUUGGCUCUGAGGCAAAAAAAAACCUUGUGGCAUGGUGUCAAGAAAAGGAGGAAAGAAUAACAAGGAGAGUAACAAAACAACUUGGCAAGCCAGAUGUGGAGUUGGAGCCAAGCCAGCACCAUGACACAACAUGGGCUGUGAAAGCUCCUGGGGCAGCUGGCGCGCUGCUCGCUGUGGGACGUGGGUGUGCAGCUGGGAUGUCUGCACCCUCCUCCAGCUCCCAAGUCCUGGCUGCUUUCAUUCAUGGUGGGGACAUGGGGCACUGGGCCCAAAUGAACAGGGAAAGGAAAAUUAUGCAGAAAAUUUAUGGGGGCAUUUGAACUUGAGUGACUGACAAGUUCUGCGGUAUCAGAACUUCUGUUGCAUUUGAAGGAGAAAGUGGGUACUUGGAUUUGGUCUUGAGAAAAGGGCCCGAAGAGGAGGCUGACCACUCUUGUGUGUUAGCUGGUAAGGAGAAGCUCUGGUGCAACCCUGCUCUCUUGAAAGGCAAUGCUACCAAACAGGGAAGCUUCAGAUAGCAUCGCUACUCACUGUAGUCUUCAGCUUCUCCUUGUCACAAAAUCCUUUGCCUCUUGGAGCUCAGGGACUCAUUGGAAAUGACCUCAUACUUGUUGUUUUUUAAGGGCCUGGUCCAAAUCCCUUGGAAGUCUUUCAGACAAACACAGUGGUCAGUGGCUCCAGGUCACAGUGUCUUUUAUAUGACUUUAACCAAGAAAUUCCUAAUGAUGUGUUGACACCUCAGGCAUUCCUCUGAGGUUGCCUUCACGAGGAAUCUGCUCUCCCAGCUCAUUUAUUCUGAUCACUAGCUCAUACUGCCUUUCAUGCUGAAAAGGGAAGAAACUGUCUGCAAAUCCAGGUUCUGUGGGCUACAUAUAAAGGUGGAUAAAAAUAUGUUUUGAAAAACCAAUCCUCUCACUCCUCCCACAACGGAACCUAGCAAAAUCAUUCAUCUGCUAAUGUUUGGUUGUCUCAGCUACAUCAGAUGCAGGAGAGGCCAGCUUCAAGAAAAAGACAAAGUAGGGAAAUUAGGCAGAGGUGCCUCAACAGGAGAGGGGAGUAGAAGGCAGUGUGAGAUGGGCUGGCAUGAGAAAGACCGCAGAGAACUUUGAAAUGGACCUCGGCAUUGGACAGUGCCAUGAUCUGAUGGGAGUUAGGAUGAUGCAGAAAAAAAUGUUUCAUGGAAUAACUAGACUGGACAUCUGAAAAAACAUCUGUUCCUGUCUUAGUAACCGCCUCACUACUCACCAUUGUGAAGGCAUUUGUUUUGCAGCAUAAGAUGUUACUGCCUGGCAGAAUUGUUCAGGAAAGCCUGUUGGUCUUCCUAAAUUGCCUAGGGCUUAUGAAGACUGAGGAAUCAGCAUUCACUUCUCUGUGACUGAGCUAUUGCAUUUCUUGAUGAAUAGAUAAUACGUUUUCAGAUCCUGGCCAUUUAUUUAGAUCUAAAUCCAGACAAGAAAAGUCUAAGCUAAAUAUAGUGUUCUAAAUCUUCUCACAAGGGCGUAUGAGAAGGGAAAAAAUCUUUCUGUAGCAUAUUAGCUUCCUUUCACUUACCUACUCCUUCUUCUCUGCCUAUAUUCCUCCAGGCAAAAGAUAAGUCUUCUCUGUGAGUGUGAGAUCUUUCCUUUUGUAUAUUACCAGAUUCAAAUUUGACCAAAUUGAUUCUUAAGAAGCUCAGUGGAAUAUACAAAUGGCUGCUUCAGUUUAAAAAAUUGCCUUUUAUGCUGUGAAACACAUCUAAAAGAUGACCAUCUGUCCCUUUACUCACAUCCUUACCCUAUGAACACUGUAUUCUUACGGUGCUUGAUUUUCACUGAGAGAAGCAGGAAUUUCAAGGUUCAAGAUCCAAAUGUGACUCCAGUUUGGGUAGUCUGGAGUUCAUCUUUCCAGUGGGCUGAUGAUAAAGAUCCUUUAAAAAACAUCUGUGUGAGUAGAAUAUAAGUGCUGUUAGACACUUUCCUUGUACAUUAUCCGAAAAGGUGGUGCUGAAGGUCCAAAGGGAUUACAUGGUUUCUUGGUCUCCGUAUAAUAGGUUUUCAGUAAUGCAAAAACUUUUGGUAUAGCCAGACUGCAAGUCAGUGCAAUAUACAUGAUGUACAGCCAUCACUUGUAACUGGAAUUGCUCUUUAAUGUUAGUGAUCUUUCUGAAAACAUUUGCACAGCAACUGCUAGCAGAGAAACCCAAAAGGAAGGGUUGAAAUGAACAAAACUUGCAUUACACAUGAUCAGUCAAACACAAUGGCAUCUGUCAAAUAACCUCAAAUUCACAAGUUUUUUCCAAAUGCAUUUCCAAGAGCUGCUCCAGCCUCCAUCACGGAGCACACUGCUGGGGCAGUCAUUUAAAAUUCUGCUAAAUUAUUCUGCAACUCUCUAACCAGUGCUAAUAGCUUUUAGGCUAGCUGUCUGGCAACCUCAUGCCAAUAGGAAGCCUUACACAGGCUUCCAGGUCUUUUAUGUGUGUGAGUAAGCAAGAGAGAGCACCACAGAUUUAAUUUAGUGCCCGUGGUGGCUUUCAGUAGAACGUGUAUUAAUCACUUGUGACUUCUGUUUUGUGGGGUGGGAGUUCGUCUGGAGUAAGGAAAAAUCAAAUGGAACUCAUAAAGUUGAAAGUUGCCUUGAUUUCAUUUUCUGAUUUUAAGCAGCAAAUUGUUUCUUACCCAUCCUUGCAUGAUAAUUGGUAAAUGUACUGAAAUGGGUUAUUUGAGUUUCAAUGGACUCUCUGGGCAAUCACAUAGUAACUGGAGUUCUGAAUGUGCCCUAUAGGUACGAUUGCUAAUUGCAUUGCUCCGAUAAUUUCUGUAUGGGAGAAACGCAUUAUAUUUCAAACUUGGCAUCUUGCAACAAGGAGGCAGGGCCAUCUCCAGCUGCGUCUGGCACAGGGUCUCAGAGCAGAGGAAAGGCUGUAGCGCAGCCCUGAAAACACAAGCCAUCAGCCCAGCUGCAGGGAGUAAGAAAUGCAAGUAAAUUACAUGAGAUGAAUGAGGCUCAAUAGGUCUGCGGGCAACAUUACUCUGCAGAUGAGAGUCACUUCAUCUAACAUUAAGCUUUGAAUGCUACACUUUAAUUUAGUUGAGUAGCAGCUUUCUGUUGCCCAGAGAGACAGGGGCCCUUGGGGUGCAAUUUAUCCUAUACAGUGUUAACGACUUGCACUUCCAGAGCACAAAUCGUCUCUUCAUCUGUGAGUGAGAUAACUCACCUUCUGCAGGUGCCUAUGAGAGCAGACAGAGCCUGGCUUUGACUUGCACACUGAACAUCUGGGUGAUCCCAGGUAGGAUCAGAGGUGUCCUGCUGAGAGCUGCCUUUGAACCAAGAAGCUCUAGGACUUUUAAUCCAGGCAGACAGUACUGUGUUGGGAGCAGCUCUGCUGCUGCUGCAAAAAAAGGGAAAAAUAAUCAUCUGACCACAGCUGCUCCUCUCCCACAUAGCUGCUGUUGCCAUGACAGCAGUCAUCCCUGGUGGAGGAUGCUCUGGAAGGUCUCCUCUUCCUUCUCCUUUUCCUCCUUCUUCUCCUCCUUUUCUUCUUCCUUCUCCUUGUUCUGGGAGCCUCUGCAGGGGCAUUUUGCAGGGUGAGGGCAUUUGUUUUAUGGUUCUCCCCUUUCAAAUGUGAAGAGCAAGUUUUCUAUUCUACUUAGUGUGACAAUGUCAAAGUCUGUCUGCCUUUGCCCAUUUUUGUGUCUUCAUCGGAUGGUGGCAGUGAGUAUGGGAUGUACAGGUAAUUCUCCCAGUUCUUCCUCACAGCUACAGUGGUUCUUCCCUGUUUGAACUGCUAAGACAUAUUAUCAAAUUUGGGAGCCCCAACAACUCUCAAACUCUGGCAAAAACACAAUGGAUAUGUGCUGCAGGGGCCUUGCUUGCAAAAUUAAAUGUUUGGAAUGAUGGAACCUGUGGACCAGCCAACUCAUCCCCUGUUCAGUGAUAAGCAGGACGAAACAAAGUAUUUCAAAGCUAUUUCUGCUGUUCACUUCUUUUCUCACUCCAUUUCUUUCCUAACUAGAAGAAGGCCCAAAUCAGACCUAGGCCCAAGCUAACAGCAGACUUAUGCUUGUGGCUACCAGAGGCCUCAAACGGUUGUGGUGGCAGGCAAAUAUCCCAUUGUGUCUUCUUAUUCCCUUCUCCUAUGGGUGGUUCUCAUGCAUAAGGGGACAAUACAAGGAUGAUCUGAAAGUCAUGAUGGCAGAUGAACAGAAACAGAAGCUUUCUCCAUUAGACUUCUUGGCUUCCUGUUUGGGUGUAUUUGUUCUCUCUGCCCCCAUGGAAAUUUUUAGCCUUGAUUUUGACAGAAUUAGAGAAUUUGACACUAUAAACGUAGACUAGGUUUAAAAAUGGACACAUAUUUUGAGAGAUACUUUGCUGCUUGUAUCCAGACUAAAUUUAGACUGUCCGUUCUCUGGAAAAUUCGGAGAAUAAAUAAAUAAAUAAAAGAAACAAGAAUAAAAACCAAAAACUUCAGAAAUUCCCUUCAGAAAGGAUUUUUUUUUUUUAAUGAAACAAUUAUAAAGCCAUCAAAAUGUCUCACUUGAAGGCUUUCAGAAGGAAGUAUCGCUGGGGAUUGUAAGUUCAGGCUCUGAUACCCACAAGUCACUUCUUCCCAGUUGUUCCUACUGUAGGACCCUGUUCUGCCCUUGCACCUUGGUGAGUCCUGGUGCAGGAUCUGUGGCCAUGAGGGCUUUUGAGCUCACAAUCCCUGUCUGGGAAAUGUGAAAUUUUUUUCAGCCCGUGAUUCUGAUGACUGCUAAGCUUCGCAGAGAAAAUGGAGAGGGAGAAACGGCAUGAAAGCAGACGGUGCUCUGCUGGAGCCCCUGCAAGCAAAUACUUACAACUGUAAAACUCUUAACUGUGGGUUCUGGAGACCAGAAGUGAAGACAGAUUCCCCUGCCCUGUGGCCUGGGCUCUGCAAGCCUCUGCAGCUCACUCACUGGGACAGGGUCCUGGGCUGGAUGGUCCUUUAGGAUGCUGACUCAAUUAAAUUCUGCUCUCCCUUGAAUGAAAGCAGGUGCAGUACUGAGGGCAUUGCUAUCCAACUUUCAUUGAUUUUGGUCCUUCAGUUACUUGCUGAUCCUUCAGUUAGUCAAAGUGAGCCAAUCAUUUUGACAGCGCUGAGGUCACUCUGCGUCAAUUUAUUUGUAUGACCAGAGGCAACGGGACAAUCGCUUGUGAUCCUGAAGAGUGCUUCAAAAGAUAACAACAAAAACAAAAACAAAACAACCCAAAUAAAUGAACAAACAAAACAACAAAGAGAACCCCAAACCAACAGAAGUUUCUAGAGAGAGUGGCAGUAAGGUUGGAGGAAGAAUAGAAAUAACAAAAUAACAGAACCGCAUGUGUCUAUAUAUUCCCAUAUAGGAACAUAUAUGUUCCCUAUGUGUUCCCAUUUUGUUUGUGGUUGUGCUACUGUGAUAUCAGCAGUGACUGCUGCUCUCUUUCACCUUUUCACUCUGAUGCCAAAUCUCCUGUUCUGCCCAGUAAAAUACUUUUUAAAUAGAUUUGAGCUCUACGCAGGAUUUUAGCUGCUGCAGAUAAGGUGGCAAACAGGAAGAAAUUGUGCUAGUUCUCUGUAGCAGUAGGUAUGUUCUUUUUAACCCGUAUGUAUUAAAGGAAUAAAAAGUUGCUGUGUGCAGUGGCACUUGUAUAAAACUAGAAUUGCUGGGAAAAUAAUGUUCUCGGUCCAUCUGAGGCAGCACUGCUGCUUUCUCUUCGUAGACCACUGAAGUCUGAGGCUGCUCAUACACACAGGGGUUUGUAGGCUCUGGGCUUUAGCUUUUUCCCAAGGCUGUCUAUGAAGUGGGGAGAGUAUGCAUCCAUGGGAUGCUCUGACCUCCCCCACCACUUGCCUUGUGCAUGGGGAACAACCCAUUGUCAUAGGGUGUACAUCUGUCCGCUGCCAAAUAUUACAAAGGGCAUGCAGGACUGAGAUAAGCCACCUGUACAUCUGCAGGGAAAGAAUGUGAAAAAUAAAGCCUUAGGGGGAUUAAUAUGAGCCACAACUGCACAAAUAUGGGAGUGACUGGGAAAAACCGCAGCGUGGGCAUGGCUUGGGUUUGAUUAUCCUCUUCUGCUGCCAGGCUGAUUUCUGCUGGGUUGAUUUUCCCACUGCUUGAAAUUUAUGCUUACAUACCACAUUUUUACUGGACACCAGGGUGUAAGGAACUGGUGCUGAAGCUCUCAACAAUAAAAAUGAGAGAUAGAUGUAAAGACACUGGCUUUAUUUAUUCUUUCACCAAAGCCUUAGGCUCUUCUGCUCCAAAUCUGCUUUUUUUUUCAUACGUAUUUCAGAAGUAACUCCACUUUGUCUUAAUGGAAGUACAUGAAUACACUAUGUAUCAGAAAAAAACUAAUGUAGCUAACUCCUUUCUUCCACUUCACUGUUAUCUCUUGGGCAGCGACUUCUAUAAAUUUUGAAAGGCUGUAACACAACACAGUACAACAGGACACUUGUAAAACAAAGAUUCCUCAUAGUUUAGAGGAAAAAGUUCAGGACCAGAAAGACCAUCUUGCUGUUACCACUUACCUGCUUUUACAGCUUUAUCUUAUAAUAACUGUUUUUGUUGUUUUUUUUCCAAAUAUGUGGCAUCAGCUACAAACCAAACAAACAAACAGAAACCAAAAGCCAAGAAACCAAGAAACAAAACAAAGAAUCAAAAACCCCACAAACAAACAAACAACCCUCCCACCCCCCACCCCCGCAAAAAAAAAAAACCCAAAAAACCCACAAAGCACAACAAAACCGUAGAGAUAUAUAAACCCGGUACAACAGAGGAAGAAAGGCAAUUCUAAAAUACUCCAGGUGGUGGAGCUACUUCAUUGCCAGUGAGAGCACAGCGCCGGUUAAGUUUUACUCUGUGAGCUCUGCAGAAAAGAAUCAUUGCCACCGGAGAAAGUCCCCAAACACCUCUGCCAUCGCACCCCAUAUCUAGACUGAAGAACAUAAAUCAGUGCACAUGACUUUCCGUGUGUCUUUUCCAGGCAAAAGUUUGGAUUCUUCAGUGUAUGCUCUCUCUCUCCCCGAAAAAAAAUACGUGCCUUUUCCUCUGCUUUUCCUCAUAGCUCCUUAAUGAGCUAUAUGCCGGACAAAGUGUAUUUUGUUCUGCAUUCUGUAAUGAUGACAUCAAUACUGCAUCAGAACUUUCCUUGAUAGAAAUUGUAAAUAUUUUUGGUGCAGAGGGAAUGCCAUAUUUUGGCUCUUCUUUACAUGUACAUAAGAUCUGUGAAAAUGUGUAUUUUGAGUUAUGCUUUUAAACACUCCAUAUUAGGAUGCUUUCUAAGGGAAAACUUUCCACAAAAUAGUAGUUCUAGGAAAUGAGCAUAAUAAAAUGUCAAGUUGGUUACUC